rnacentral:rRNA from 1 species
CAGAGAUUAGCCCAGCACCGAAGCCUGCGCUGUUUAUGCGUAAGGCAAUGUGGUGUUUAGGCUAAGACCUGGGAUUGGUCGUUGGCUCUAGUCCAUUCUUGAAAAUGGCUGCUAAAACGGGUGAUAGCCCCGUACGAGUCAACGUAGUGCAUACCAGUCCUCAGAUGUCUUAGCCUUGGAGUCGGAUUGCUUGAGAAUGCAGUCCAAAGUUGGUGGUAAACUCCAUCAAAGGCUAAAUACCUGCGUGAGUCCGAUAGCUAACAAGUACCGUGAGGGAAAGUUGAAAAGUACUCUAAAUAGAGAGUAAAUAGUACGUGAAACUACAUGGAGGUUAACCGAACGGAGUCAGACUUCUCGAUUGCUGCAAUUCAGCACAGGUUUUGAAUGUGGUUAGCUUUGCUUUGGAUUUGCCUAUACUCUUUCGUGUGCUUUUAUUACAUUGAACGAGUUCAGGGCAAUGGCUAAUACCUGUGUGAUUUUGUGGUGGUCAGCAGCUCACUCAGUGUCCGUUUCUUGCUUGCUUGAUAAACAUGAUGAGCUUCGAGCAAUCGGAGCAUGUUAUGAUGGCAGAAAGUGGGGUUCCUUCGGGUUCUCCACUUACUUGGCUUCGGCCUGCUUUCAGGAUGAGCAAGAUAGCGGUUCACUGGCUGAUUGGCACGAUGAGCAGUGGGUUGAAUAGUUGGUAAUGCAUGGUCUCGUCACUUGUGAGGGG